rnacentral:rRNA from 1 species
AUGUCAAUCACCGCCCAUUAUAUCAAUGCAGAAUUCAACUACAAGAAGAAGACCAUAAGUUUCGCAGAAGUGAAGUAUCCCCACACAGGCUAUGUGAUAGAAGAAGAAAUAGUUCGUUGCUUAACAGAAUGGGGCAUAAGGGGCAAAUUAUUCACUUUGACACUAGAUAAUGCCAGCAUAAUACUAAUGCAUGUGAGGAGUUAA